rnacentral:misc_RNA from 1 species
UCUCCGUUGGUGAACCAGCGGAGGGAUCAUUAAAGAGUUCUAUAACUCCCAAACCCAUGUGAACGUACCUUACGUUGCCUCGGCAGGUCGUGCCUACCCCGUAGCGUCCCACCCUGUAGGACCUACCCGGUAGACGCGGGUAAGCCUGCCGGCGGCCCACGAAACUCUGUUUAGUAUUGAAUUCUGAACCUAUAACUAAAUAAGUUAAAACUUUCAACAACGGAUCUCUUGGUUCUG